AUGGACAUGAGGGGUCCUGCUCAGGUCCUAGGCCUGCUGCUCUUCUGGUUUCCAGGUAUAAGAUGUGACACCCAGAUGACUCAAUCUCCAUCCUCCUUGUCUGCAUCUUUGGGAGACAGAGUCACCAUCACUUGCCGUGCCAGUCAGGGCAUUAGUAAUUUUUUAGCUUGGUAUCAGCAGAAACCAGGGACAACUCCUAAACUCCUGAUCUAUGGGGCAUCAACCCUACAUUCUGGGGUCCCAUCUAGGUUCAGUGGUGGUGGAUCUGGAACACAAUUCACUCUCACCAUCAGCAGCCUGGAGUCAGGAGAUGUUGGAAUAUACUAUUGUCAACAGUAUGGUUACCUUCCUCCCACAGUGAUACAGUUCAUAACAUAA